rnacentral:rRNA from 1 species
CCUACGGGAGGCAGCAGUGGGGAAUUUUGGACAAUGGGCGAAAGCCUGAUCCAGCCAUGCCGCGUGCAGGAUGAAGGCCUUCGGGUUGUAAACUGCUUUUGUACGGAACGAAAAGGUCUUUUCUAAUAAAGAAGGCUCAUGACGGUACCGUAAGAAUAAGCACCGGCUAACUACGUGCCAGCAGCCGCGGUAAUACGUAGGGUGCAAGCGUUAAUCGGAAUUACUGGGCGUAAAGCGUGCGCAGGCGGUUAUAUAAGACAGUUGUGAAAUCCCCGGGCUCAACCUGGGAACUGCAUCUGUGACUGUAUAGCUAGAGUACGGUAGAGGGGGAUGGAAUUCCGCGUGUAGCAGUGAAAUGCGUAGAUAUGCGGAGGAACACCGAUGGCGAAGGCAAUCCCCUGGACCUGUACUGACGCUCAUGCACGAAAGCGUGGGGAGCAAACAGGAUUAGAUACCCUGGUAGUCCACGCCCUAAACGAUGUCAACUGGUUGUUGGGUCUUCACUGACUCAGUAACGAAGCUAACGCGUGAAGUUGACCGCCUGGGGAAGUCGGCCGCAAGGUUGAACUCAAGGAAUUGACGGCNGNGAGNGCGAGACGACGACGAGGGAGGAGG